GUAGGGAGAAGCGUGCUGCUCCGCCGAGGCCGCGGGGGGCGGAGGUGUGUGCCAGGCAGGAAGCCUCAGGCCCGGGAGGCGGAACUUGGCCCCCCUCUCGGCGGCCUCUACGGCCGGGUUAAGCGAGUUCAGAGGAAGCAGAGAGCGAGUUUCCCAGAACUCGGGGGUCUGGGGGAGGGGAGGGGGAGGAAGGGAAGGGACGGCGCUCAAAACGAAACCUGCGGGGGGCCGGCCCCACCCCGCCCCGGGCUCUGAUGACCAGGUGCGCACGGGGCCAGGUCCCCGGGCCAGGGCGCUGGGCUCCCGUGCAGGCCCCGUGGGGGUCCUGGAGGAUGGAGGAGCAGCCCCCCAUGGCUUCAGGGGCCCCAGAGCUGGCCACGGUGCCCGAGAGAGCUCACCGCGCCCCAGAGCCAGCGUGGGGCAGACCCCGGGAGACGGCGUCCGGCUGAGGACCACCUGCGAAGGACAAAGGACAAUGACCCAGAGCCCUGGGGACGCAGAGGGCAUCCCGGAGCCGGGGAACCAGCCUGAGCAAAGGCUGGCGGUGAAACUGCAUCACGGGGACCCCUGGAGAGACCGGCCUGGUUGGGGGUAUGCACUAGGGGUCGGGGGUCAAAGGCCUUAACAAGCGUCCAGCAGAGCAGUGACCACUCGGGGCGGGCGAGGAGGGGGGCUCGGCUCAGGAGGGGUCAGGAGGCCCCGCUGUAUCCGGGGGACCCUUCGAUUUCUGGGGCUUGGGGGGGGAGCGAGGGGCCUCCCAGCCGGACAGGAGCGCAUCAGCUUUGCCACGCCCGUCGGCCGUGGGCACAGGACCGGGUGGCCCUCAGGACGCUGCUUCUGGGGUGCCCUGAGCCCCGUCACACUCAGCACGGUUCCCGGCCCCCGGUAAACCCCCUGCAAGUCAGCUGGUCACCCUCAGAGGAGUUAAACAGGGAGCGACCUUCGGACCUGGCACUUCAGCCCUGUGACCACACGGGAGAAAUGAAGACAUGUGUCCACACAGACGCUUACUCCUGAAUGUCCACGGCAGCACGAGUCACGAGAGCUAAAAAGUGGACACAACCCAAACAUCCAUCACCAGAUGAUGGACACACACACGUGUCCCUCCACACACUGGGACACGACGCAGCCGUGAAGAGGAGCGAGGCCCUGACAUGGCCACACGUGGACGGACCUGAACACGCGACGCUCAGAGAGAGAAGCAGACACAGAAGGACACACGGUGUGUGACCCCAUUGACAUGAAACAUCCAGAACAGGCCGAUCCACAGACAGAGAGCAGGCUCGUGGGGGCCAGGGGCUGGGGAGGGACUGCUCAUGGGGAAAGGGCUUCUUUUUAGGGUGAUGGAAUGUUCUGGAACAAGAUCAAGGUGAUGGUUGCACAACUAUGUGAAUGCACUGAAAAGCCCUAAAUUGUACCCUUGAAAUGUUUUAAGGGGUGGAUUUGAC
rnacentral:lncRNA from 1 species